rnacentral:lncRNA from 1 species
UAUUGCAUUAUUUGUUAGUUUUGGCCUGCUGGACACCCUGUAUAUACUUUACUUAUAUAAAACAUGUAUAUACCUUUCUGACAUCCAAGGACACAAAUGAGUCUAUUGCAAUUGUCCUAAGGAAGCACUUAUCAAAAACAUCACCAAACUACGUAGAUCCUCAGAGUCUAAAACAACAUUCUAUUCAAAAUGUUGUACAUAUAUGCUAUAUAACGCGGCUUGUGGAAACCUUAACUGCCCCAAAAAAGGUCAACAUGUUGAAAUAUUAUAAGAAUUGAUCUUAUAAAUAUCUUGUCUAACUUGGUACACAUUGUAUUAAUUAACAUUUUUUUGUAUCUUGAACAAUUUUUGAGACAUUGAUUACAUGUACAUCCUAUAACAAUUUUUCUAUCACAGAACUGCGAUAAGAAUGCUUAAACAAGUUGAAACUGGGUACAAAAUUGAUCUUAUAAAUAUCUUGUCUAACUUGGUACACAUUGUAUUAAUUAACAUUUUUUUGUAUCUUGAACAAUUUUUGAGACAUUGAUUACAUGUACAUCCUAUAACAAUUUUUCUAUCACAGAACUGCGAUAAGAAUGCUUAAACAAGUUGAAACUGGGUACAAAAUUGAUCUUACAAAUAUCUUGACUACGUUCGUUGUCCAGCUUGGUACGCUAUUUCAUUCCAUCGUGGCAGCGGUUUAAACUUGGAAACAAUUCAUAACUAACUUCAUUAUUUAUGAAUCCAUAGAAAAAAAUCCUAAAUAGUUCUGGAAUGCUAGUUACAUUUUCUAAACUUUUUGUUAUAAACAAGGGGGGUGGAUAGUAAAUCCCAUGAAAAUAAAUUAAUAAUAUUUCGGCUAUUACCUACAUCUUCCAACUGAACAGGAAGGCCUAUUUUGAUAUAUUUAUAAAAUGUUUAGCAAUUUCUCCUAUGUCUUGUAGAAAAUCUACGAAUCCAGAUCUAAAGUACUAAUUAUGUUGCUGCUUCACAGCAGGUUUUAUGCAGCCUCCAUCAAAGGCAUUAUCUGGAACUCUGAACAGGAACAGGAAAAUGUUCCUAAAUAUAACUGUGUCAUGUUCAUCUGGAGACAUCACAAUUUCUGCCCUCUACUCUGACUCCACAAUAAGACCAACAGGACAAUGUCAUGAACAGCAAAUUUUUCAUAGCAUCUCAUAGGUAAGUCAUUGUCAUUAGGGACACCUUCCUGCAACUCAUCAAGUCUUCCUACUCCAUAACAUCAUUCAUGCUGCCCUUAUCAGGAAUAUCAUGAGAAUCUAGGACAUGAACUAGUCAUUUAUACACAUGGCAGAAAGAAAGAUCCAUCUGGGCAAUCUCUUGUCUCCAGAGUGCUCCAGGAAAGGUUUUGAAGAUCUCCAGGAGUAUUACCUGGAAUGCUGGCAUGAACUGUGAGGAUCUCUCCCUAGCACAACUGAGGUAAGUUAUAGUCAUCGGGAGAAAAUUGUACCCUCAAAAUGUAUUUUGCUGCUUCAGAACCGGUUUCAAAUAGCCUCCAAUAGAGUUUCCAUUGAAACUGAAAUGAACACCAAAUUAUCCAUAAAUACACUCUUAGGCACUCAUGAUUAUUGGUAUAACACUGCUCUUAAUUCUUUAUCAGUAUUCUAGGGCAAGUUCCACAUGAUCUCCAACAGUGUGACAUGAAACCCUGAGAUGGACAUCGAAUGUUCCUUACCUCAGUAUUAUUCUGUAUCUGGUUCCUCACGGUCUUUAAUGGACCUUGCUAAGGGAAAUAAGUUGUGAAAUUUUUCCUAGCAUCAUCAAAGUAAAAAAAUAAGCCUGGUAUACCUGAGGUCAUUCAUAAUUUAUUUGGUGUCAAACAGGGUGUCGCCCAAAAUCUUGAUUGACUGUAUAAAGUCUUGAAACAUUAUUGCCACUACUAUUAUUUUUGACAAUAACUCGUAUUAGUGGCAAUAAUGUAUGAAGACAUCCUGUGCCAUUUCCAUGCUCCAUGACAAUAAAAUAUGAUUAGAAUUUUGUGAUUUUUCACAAGCUUUAGUUCUUCUCUUCACAAUCAGUGGAACUAUCAAUGAAUAGUUUUUAUAUUUCUUUAUAGAAUUGUGGUUUUUAAAUAAAAAUGUUAUGGCCCAGAGUAACUUUUAAGUUUGUUUUCAGAGGGUGCAACCUUGUAAUUUGUGUAAUAACAGUGGACACUAGAACCUUGUCAGCCAUACCUUGUGUAAAAUACUAAGUCUAUUAAUCCAUUUUAAGCAUAACUGCAAGUAAAAAAUGUAUCAACAUAUUGAUUUAAAAAAAGGAAUAGCUUAAAAUCUGAAUAAAUUUUAUCAUAUGUAUUGUUAUUUUAUUUGUGACAAAUCAAACAGACACAGAACCAGACCCUAUUCUACCAAUUAUAGGGUUAUUAAAUUAACAGAAUAAUUAUUCCCCACAAAAAUGUGGAUGGCAAACAAAAUAAUAAAAAGAAUGAAAAUUUAUAUAAUAAGUCAAUUGAGCUAAUUUUGACGACAAACAAUCGUUUUCACUUCUCUUGCAGACGUUCAAUGGAGGCCCAGUGCUGACUCUGAGAGGCCGUUCCAGUGUGUUCAGUGUGGCAGAGACUACAAGUGGAAGUGUUCACUGCGAGCGCACGUCCUGAACGAGUGUGGGAAACCUCCGAAGUGGCUUUGCCCCAAGUGUCCUUACCGAUCCAAAGCUCGGUCAUCGAUGACAUGCUGAUACCACAGGUUACGUACGCGAUGCACAAGAAGCGGCGGUAUAUACCGGACAGGGUGAGAUUACAUCAAGGAGGCCAUGUGCCGGUGGCAACGAGCAAGCGCAGGUGUAUCCUGUGCACAAGGGAGCGCAGAACGCGCUGGCGAUGUUCAGUAUGUGAUGUUCCACUCUGCUUCAACGUCAGAAGGGAUUGUUUCAAAGAGUUCCAUAUGGCUGAGGCGAAGGAAUGAACUCAGUUGUCUUACUUCUGGCGUCCUAUGAGCAAAUUCUCUAUCAGCUAUGUAUAUUCUGGAUGCAUCGGUAUUUUUGCAGUAGCCAUUUGCAGAAAAAUGUUGAUGCAGUUUUCCAGGUAUACAAAGUUAUAAUGAAGUUGAUACUUUGCUAAAUACUGCCUUUUCUAUAAGUCAUCUGUUACUAUAAAAAACUAAAAAUAGUAAUUAAUUAUAAUUUUUGGGGAAAGAUUACUUUAUCUAAAUGAUUUGAGUUUUGGUGUACAUGAUAGGAUGAGGGUAAUCAUAAUCGGGAGAGUAAUUUUAUAGAUUUGACAUUCUUAUUUUUAUUAUUGAGCUGUUUAUUAUCCUCUUUUUUAAAUUUUUUUCUAUUAUCCAUUCUUUUUCCACUCAACAUCGCCAAUCCAGAGCUCAGACCAUUUCUGUUUUAUUGCAUUUUUGAAUGGUAUGAACUGUAAAAAAUGUAAGAUGUGGGACAAAGGUUUAAAAAAUUCAAAAUGUCAUCAUAAAUGCAGACUAGGCUGAAGGCAACGCUUACUUGACAUCUGGACCAAUAUUUAUGUUUGCUGGCUUACGAGACCCAUGGCAGUACAAUUAUAUCUGAGCUUCCUUGGCAUCUCCCUUUACAAAUUUACAAUAUUUGUGACUCACCAUAAUAAGGCUUUAAUAUUUGUAAAGUUUCAUGUAAUUAUUUAUAAACAAUUAUCUAAUCACGUUUAAUUAGUCAAUGAUUUUCAUACUUUAUACUAUGUACUUUUAUAAGAUUUUCUGUUUCAUUAAAAUUUUUGAAUACCAUAUAUUACAACACUUGUAUCUGGUGUGGCUGUAAUAUCUAAAUUACUCGUAUCCACUGCUUGGAGUUUUUUUUGGUGAGCUGAAAUUUAUCCAAACAGUUACAUACCACUACCGUUUCAAUGUACCCCUCUUCAUAACUACUAUAUAAAAAAAAAUGUCUUUUUAAAAUUUCCUCACAAAUUAAAAAGGGCUUUAGAAUUGUAGAAAACUACUACGCUUAAUUCUUAUACUGAGCCCUCAUUUGAAUAUCAUAUUAUGAGCAAAACAUGGUUGUCACUUUGGGAAAUUUGAAAUAAAUUUACCAUGGAGAAUAAGUUUUUGUAAAUUGGAAGUUUAUGAUACGUACAAUUUAAAAUAUUUCAGUACUACGCACAAAUAAAUACAAUAGCAGAACUGUUUCCCUAGAUAGCGAUGGAGAUAGUCGUCCAGUCCGGUGUCCUAUACUCACGUAAACACACACAAGUAAUGAGUUUAAACAAAGUAUGAAUGUGUAUUGUUCGGAUUUCUUCUGAAUAAUUUAGUUAAACUUGAUUUUGUAAAUGGUUUUAUAGGUCGAGUGAAAGAAAAGUAUACGGUACAGUAAAGAUUUUAUUUAUUAUAUCAUGGUAAUAAAGUCCAAUAGCCUUUAUCGGCCGUAGAAGACAUUCUCAUGUAAUGUAGAGGUUUUAUAAUGUUAUUUUCUUAAAUAUUUCUAUGAAAAAACAAGAUUAAGCUCAACUGCAAUACAAUUUAAACUGAACACAUUCUACAAAUGUCACACAAUACACAAACUGUGCACAAUGUUCUAGAAAGGAAAACAUAAAUACAGAUGUAUACCAUCUGUAAUAAAUGUAUGUAUGUCAUAUCGGGUGUGCAGGAAACUGCUCCUAAGUAUUGUUGAAUAUGACUAAAACUACUGUAGUACUAGUUACCUUAAGUAUUAUAGUGGUAUCCUAGCACACUUUAGAUAAAAAUAUACUCCAAUAGUUACCAUCUGCCUAUAAACUUUGUGUUACCAAUUUACUUUUGUUACCAAAGAGUAUGUUUUUAAAUUUGAAUAUUGUUAGUUAAGUUUUAAAAAUAGAAUUAAGUAAAACAUUUUGGUAGUUAUGUAAAUAUUUAUCUAUGUGUGAUUUUUCUUAUUGUAUAUUGUUAUGUUUAAGAAAGGAAUGUUUUUAUAUAUGUGUAAUUUUACUUUAUUAUGUUUUCAAUGUUUUCUCAUUGCCUUCAUGAUUACCCCCAUAAGACCAAUGUAAAAAUGUGUGUUAAAGUUCAGCCAAAUGACAUUCAUCUUGUUGUUGCUUAUAUUGAAAUGAAGCUUCGUGCAGCAUUUCAAGUCAGGUAGGUCUCAAGAUAUCAAGCGGACAGAUAGACAGACGUACAGAAAUACAUUUUCUAGUUCCUCAAGUGAUAGGCUUCACCAAUGCUCAGCCAAUUAUCAUCCAGAGUAACAUGAUAAUAAUUCAAUUAUUUAUAUCAAAAACUAAAAAUGUUAUAUUUAAUUUAGGUUACUAUAACUCUAUUUAAGCCAAUAUUAACUCUAAGUAAAUAAUCAUUCAGGUUUUGUAUCAGAUGUUCAAAUCAAUAAAGACUGAGUCAAAAGGAUAUCAAAGAGCAUUAUAACAAUAAUGCCAUCGCAAUAGUAUUUAAUAUGAUCUUACCAUUGUACUAGUAGUUUAUAUUGAAAACUUUACCAUAGAAUUAGUUGUUUUAUCAUUAUCAAUUCUAGUCACUGCCACAUGUGAUAUUGUGUGUUUUAAUGAGCAUCAACACCAGAAGUGAAAUAAGUGUUCUUAUUCAUUAACGGUCUUAAAACUAUCAAAACUAUGUGAUAUGGUUAGAUAUGUAUAGAUUAUGGUACAUCACAUCAUGCCAUAUAACCUUAUUUUUUCUGAUGAAAGAUAUUAGGCUAUUGUUGUUCUCAAGUUUCUCAGUAAUGAUUUUUUACCAAUUUAAGAGCUUUUGACCACAGUUUCCCAAAUAUUACAUAUCUGUUUUAAACUUAAAACCAUCUUAAGCACCUGACAUUGGAAAAUUCUAAUUCUAGUGUGAAUAAUUAUUUUCUAUUGUUGCUGUUAAAAUUUAAUCAAUAAAAAGUUGUUAAAAUUAC